rnacentral:rRNA from 1 species
GUAGGUGGCAAGCGCUGUCCGGAAUUAUUGGGCGUAAAGCGCGCGCAGGCGGUUCUUUAAGUCUGAUGUGAAAGCCCACGGCUCAACCGUGGAGGGUCAUUGGAAACUGGAGAACUUGAGUACAGAAGAGGAAAGCGGAAUUCCACGUGUAGCGGUGAAAUGCGUAGAGAUGUGGAGGAACACCAGUGGCGAAGGCGGCUUUCUGGUCUGUAACUGACGCUGAGGCGCGAAAGCGUGGGGAGCAAACAGGAUUAGAUACCCUGGUAGUCCACGCCGUAAACGAUGAGUGCUAAGUGUUAGGGGGUUUCCGCCCCCCUUAGUGCUGCAGCUAACGCAUUAAGCACUCCGCCUGGGAGUACGGCCGCAAGGCUG